rnacentral:rRNA from 1 species
AUUGAACGCUGGCGGCAGGCCUAACACAUGCAAGUCGAACGAGUGGCGGACGGGUGAGUAAUGUCUGGGAAACUGCCCGAUGGAGGGGGAUAACUACUGGAAACGGUAGCUAAUACCGCCUACCAUCGGAUGUGCCCUGAUGGGAUUAGCUAGUAGGUGGGGUAAUGGCUCACUUAGGAGACGAUCCCUAGCUGGUCUGAGAGGAUGACCAGCAACACUGGAAAUGAUACACUUCCCAGACUCCUACGGUAGGCAGCAGUGGGGAAUAUUGCACAAUUGGCGCAAGCCUGAUGCAGCCAUGCCGCGUGUAUGAAGAAGGCCUUCGGGUUGUAAAGUACUUUCAGCGAGGAGGCGUUACUCGCAGAAGAAGCACCGGCUAACUCCGUGCCAGCCGCCGCGGUAAUUC